ensembl:lncRNA
UCUUUUUGUGCAAGUCACCUUUUCCAGGAAGUUGUGAACUCAUUGCCAGUGAUUUAUCUUUAUCUUUCCAAGGCCCAUCACAAAAUUUUGCAUACUUAACCAAUGUUUGAUGACUGACUGAAUGAAUGAAUGAAUGCAUUCUAGGGUAAGCUAACCCUUUCUCCCAGCUUCUCCUAUGUGGUAACUUCGUGUUAGUAGGGUUUCAAUGAUUACAGAAAGUUCAGUACACCUCUGCCUAAAACCCUUCAAGGCAUUUCCAAAGUGCCAUGAAACAUCCUAUAGUAAUCUUGCUGAAGCCUGAGAAUCCUGCCAUUUUUGUCUUUGUAUAUCUUGUACCUUGUACAUACUACAUCCUUAAUAAAUAUUUGUUGAAUUACAUUAAAUUUACAUUUUAAGUGAUUAAUAAUAAACUAAAAUUAACUAAUUAAUUUAAAUUAAUAAUUAAUUUAAUUUAAUUUUUCUAGUCUUUGAAGAACAACAGAAGAUUCUAGGUUCCAACAUCACUUCCAGGAAAGAAGUUCUUUCUACCCAUAACUCUUCCUGCUGCAAUGAAGAGAAGCCUUUUCUUGCUUCACUGCAAUGGCCAUGGCUCCUGGUAUCCAUCCCUUACCUAAAGACUGCUACACUGCAGCCCAAAGAGCUUCCUUCCUGAGGCAGCACUAGCCCAGUCAUUUGGAAACCUGUCUCAGAUGAGCUAAGCGAUGGAUGGGCUGAUAAACCUGGCCUGGAGUCUGUUGUGCCAUCUCCCAAAUCUCCGAGUUGAAUUCACUGAGUCCUGGCCACACAGUCUCAAGUCAAGGGCUGAAAACUCACCAAAGAACCCCUCCAAAGUUCCCCAUCUCAGGCCCUGCCCAGGCUGCAUGGACUGUGAGUAGAAGUGGAUGGGGAAAAUGUAUAUUUAAUUCAUUUUAUUCACUUGGGCCCCAGCCCCUGAAUGAGGCAGGCAUUAGUGAGGCCAAGCAAACUCUAAUACUUAUUCUCAACACUUUCUUGUCAUUCUUGCUUUUUAUGUGAUGGCGGACCUGCCAACCUGAACGUGCCUAAGAUGCUGAUCUGGUGUCUCAAGCAUCAUUUCAUUUAUGUCCUUCUGUGACUUAAUAACUGGUAAGACUUCCUAACUUCAUCGGAGCAUAGAAUUAGAGAUGGAGAGGAUCCCCAAUGCAUUCUAAGUCCAAUCACCUACUUUCAUGGACAAGGAGUUUAAGUGACUUGCCUGUGGUCACACAGCUAUCACGUGUCUGAAUCAGGAUUUUAACUCAGAUCUCCCUGUCUUAUUGCAAACAAACUCCCCAGCCUAGAUUUUCAUGCUUCAAGGGAUCCCACACCACAUUGACAUGCUCAUAAUAGCUCACAUUUAUAUACAAUAGUACUAUAAAGUUCACAAAUCACUUUUCCUCAGAACAACUGUGUGAGGUAGGAGAGCAAGUAUUAUCCCCAUUUUACAGAUAUAAUAGGGUCAUCAUCAUCAUAUCUAGCAUUUAUAUAGUGUCUACUAUGUGCCAGGCACUCUGCUGAGCACUUUAUAAAUAUUAUCAUGUCAGGUAGGUAAAGCAGAUAUUAUUGCCAUCAUCCUCAUGUUUAUAGUGCUUCCCUCUGUCAAGCAUUUUACAAGUAUCAUCUCAUUUGAUCUCACAACAACUCUGAAGGUAAGUGCUGCUAUUAUUCUUUUUUUCCCUACAAUUGAGGAAACUGAGGCACACAGAGAUUAAU